rnacentral:rRNA from 1 species
GACGAACGCUGGCGGCGUGCUUAACACAUGCAAGUCGAACGGAAAGGCCUGCUUUCCCUUGUGGAUUGCGGGUACUCGAGUGGCGAACGGGUGAGUAACACGUGAGUGAUCUGCCCCCAACUUGGGUAUAAGCCUGGGAAACUGGGUCUAAUUCCCGAUAGGACUGCAGGGUGGUGCCUGUGGUGGAAAACGAUUUUCUAGUGGUUGGGGAUGAGCUCGCGGCCUAUCAGCUUGUUGGUGGGGUAAUGGCCUACCAAGGCGGCGACGGGUAGCCGGCCUGGGAGGGUGGACGGCCACAUUGGGACUGGGAUACGGCCCAGACUCCUACGGGAGGCAGCAGUGGGGAAUAUUGCACGAUGGGCGGAAGCCUGAUGCAGCGACGCCGCGUGGGGGAUGACGGCCUUCGGGUUGUAAACUCCUUUCGACCGCGAGGAAGCCACCUGGUUGGAAGGGUGGUGACGGUAGUGGUAGAAGAAGCACCGGCUAACUACGUG